UACAGAGGGGGCAAGCGUUAUUCGGAAUUAUUGGGCGUAAAGCGCACGUAGGCGGUUUGUUAUGUCGGAUGUGAAAGCCCUUGGCUCAACUGAGGAAGUGCAUCCGAAACUGGCAAGCUAGAGUAUGUAAGAGGGUCGCGGAAUUCCCGGUGUAGAGGUGAAAUUCGUAGAUAUCGGGAGGAACACCAGUGGCGAAGGCGGCGACCUGGACGGAUACUGACGCUGAUGUGCGAAAGCGUGGGGAGCAAACAGG
rnacentral:rRNA from 1 species